rnacentral:lncRNA from 1 species
AGAGAAGAAUGUUCUGACUGGACCUGAGACCCUGUUCCUGGUGAGACUGUCCUUGAAUCACUUCCUCUGGACUGAUGUGUGAUUUCUUCAUUUGUUAAUGAUGAGACUUGAGUUCCUGCCCUUAGAGCCUGGUGCCAUCCAACUUCAUGGUGUCCACUCUUUCAGUCCCCAUUCAUGGGCCAGCCACAAUCUCCAGAGCUUCUAAGUGGACACAGGUGCUUCCAGGGCCCUGCACCUAGAGAUUCCCUUGUUCAGCAAUCAAGACCAAGUGAAAGAGGCAACAUACUGUCAAGUAUACUGCAUUUCCUGUGCUCUAGGGGAACUGUCCAACACAACUGUUCCUGA